GAUGAACGCUGGCGGCGUGCCUAAUACAUGCAAGUCGAGCGAACAGAUGAGGAGCUUGCUCCUCUGACGUUAGCGGCGGACGGGUGAGUAACACGUGGAUAACCUACCUAUAAGACUGGGAUAACUUCGGGAAACCGGAGCUAAUACCGGAUAAUAUAUUGAACCGCAUGGUUCAAUAGUGAAAGACGGUUUUGCUGUCACUUAUAGAUGGAUCCGCGCCGCAUUAGCUAGUUGGUAAGGUAACGGCUUACCAAGGCAACGAUGCGUAGCUGACCUGAGAGGGUGAUCGGCCACACUGGAACUGAGACACGGUCCAGACUCCUACGGGAGGCAGCAGUAGGGAAUCUUCCGCAAUGGGCGAAAGCCUGACGGAGCAACGCCGCGUGAGUGAUGAAGGUCUUCGGAUCGUAAAACUCUGUUAUUAGGGAAGAACAAAUGUGUAAGUAACUAUGCACGUCUUGACGGUACCUAAUCAGAAAGCGACGGCUAACUACGUG
rnacentral:rRNA from 1 species